GAUGAAGAACGUAGCGAAAUGCGAUAAGUAGUGUGAAUUGCAGAAUUCAGUGAAUCAUCGAAUCUUUGAACGCACAUUGCGCCCCUUGGUAUUCCAUGGGGCAUGCCUGUUCGAGCGUUAUUUGUACCUUCAAGCUCUGCUUGGUGUUGGGUGUUUGUCUCGCCUUGCGCGUAGACUCGCCUUAAAACAAUUGGCAGCCGGCGUAUUGAUUUCGGAGCGCAGUACAUCUCGCGCUUUGCACUCAUAACGACGACGUCCAAAAGUACUUUUUACACUCUUGACCUCGGAUCAGGUAGGGAUACCCGCUGAACUUAAGCAUAUCAAUAAGCGGAGGA
rnacentral:misc_RNA from 1 species